AGGAAGAUCUUAUGGGUGGUCUCCCCUUUCGCCAAAUAGAAUCUUACUAUACUUCGUUUUACAUAUAUUAAUUAUAAUCCCAGAAAAAAAAAGUGUAUUCUUUUUAUUGCAUGAAACUAUUGUCACUACUCUAUCCCGUUCUUCUCUGACCACUUCUCUCUAUGGAAAGACCAGUGAGAGAGUUGAUAUUUUUUAUUCAAUCUCUCUCCCAUGAGCUGCGAAACAAACCCAGAACCCAAAACCGCUUCCCCCUCCUCUGCUCUGUUCCAGCAUGUGUGUUUUAUCGAGACCGGGGUUUUAGGUUGGGUUCUGUUUUUUGGUUUGGGUUUAUCAGACGACGGAGGAGGAGGGGUCUUCUUAUUAUCACUGUUCUGGUCGCUGUUGUUAUAUAGUUUUAGGUUGGGUUCUAUGUUUUGGUUUGGGUUAUCAGACGACGGAGGAGGAGGGGUUCUAUUUAGUUUUACGUUACACAAUUAUAUGAGCCGGGAGGCGGCGAAAUCGUCAAAAUCAAUCAGUUUGGCGAAAUUAAUACUUGGCUUGGCAAAGAAAGAGAAAGGAAAAGAUCUGAAGGGUUAGAUCUCUUUCCCAUACGCCUGAAACGUCACAAACUUACAGAGACUUCAUAGCUUCAGAUUUGGCUCAUUUACGGAGAAUGUCGCAAAUCAAUUAAGACUGUAAGGAUGCUAAAUCGGAGAGGCCGAGGAAGGGAUGGCGGCUUCGGAAUGGAGAAUACGCUAAGCUCUGCGAUCGAUGCGCAAUCCGUUCCAGUUCUAGGUGCUUUCUAGUGAUUAUUGUAAGGGUUUCUUCACCACCGAUUCAUCAAGACGAUCAGGAGAGGGGUAGCACUAUUUCCAAGGAAAAAUACCAGCUCAGUUGGUCUGAUAAGGCUACUGAACUAUGGACAUCUGAAGGAGCUCCAUAGAACUAUUAAGCUAUAUGAGCAAGCUAUAGUUUCAGUUGACCCUACUGUUACCUCUUUAGGAAGCUAAUAGGUCAGUGAUCUUCAUGUUUUGGGAAUAUGUCUCUGCCUCAGCUGUCAUUUGACAUCUUGGUUCUUGGUUAUGUUUUACCCAAAAAAGUGCAUCAAUGAAAUUAUCCAAAAAUUUUUGCAGCAGUUCUAUCAUCAUAUAGUCUUUUUCUUUCUUUUUUCUUGUUGGUAAGCAUAACCUCAUCUGUAAUUACAAAACGCAAAAUCAUUAUGAUUUGUUCCUUUCUUGCCUUUCACACACACUUGAACUUAUAAUUGGAUCAGUACAUGAAAGCGUGUACAAUAUCUUAGUAUUGUGGCCAGUCUAUUUAUCUGGUAAUUUAAUCGAAUUGAUCCUUCAGAAAAUAAGGUAAGAAAUUUCCAUUUUGUUCCUUAAAUAAGAAGUAAGGUUUGGAUUAACCAUCUUUAUAUUAUGUAUGCUUAUGGGUGCCUGGUAAAAAUUUUGUUAGAGGCAAUAAAAGUUUUGUAUUGAUUUUAUUAGAAGAACACCUCUUUAUAUAUAACCUAUUUUUUCUUUAUUCU